GGAAGGGUCAGCAAGGAGCUGGAAGGUAAAGCAGCACAAAGGUAAAGUAGAAGGAGCAGAAAGGGUCAGAAAUGAGCUGGAAGGGGCAGAAGGAGCACAAACAUAAAGUAGGAGAAUGAGCAGGAAGGGCCUGCAAGGAGCAGGAAGGGCCUGCAAGGAGCAGGAAGGAGCACAAAGGGACAGCAAGGAGCACAAAGGUAAAGGAGCAGAAAGAAUCAGAAGGAGCACAAAGGUAAAGUAGGAGAAAGAGCAGAAAGGGACAGCAAGGAGCACAAAGGUAAAGUAGAAAAGGG
rnacentral:lncRNA from 1 species